UACGUAGGGUCCGAGCGUUUGUCCGGAAUUACUGGGCGUAAAGGGUGCGUAGGUGGUUAGGUAAGUCCGAUGUGAAAUCUCCAGGCUCAACCUGGAAAUGGCAUUGGAUACUAUCUAGCUCGAGGAGUGGAGGGGGGACUGGAAUUCUCGGUGUAGCAGUGAAAUGCGUAGAUAUCGAGAGGAACACCAGUGGCGAAGGCGAGUCCCUGGACACUUCCUGACACUGAGGCACGAAAGCUAGGGGAGCAAACAGG
rnacentral:rRNA from 1 species